rnacentral:lncRNA from 1 species
CGGUAGGAUGUGAGCAGCAACUGUUUGGGCUGGUGGCACAGAGGUAAAAGAACUUACCAAGACAGCUGUGGGUGAAGAAAGGCAGAUUUAUUAAAGACAGUAUCAAAGUAUGUUAUCAGGGAGCAACAGGCAGAAUCAGUGGAAGAGGAGCUGACUGCAAGGAAACAAAGGCUUGCUGGAGAUUUUAUAGGAUGGUUCCUGGGCUGAUUGAUAAUGCCAAGGCAGCAGGGAGCUGACCUGCAUUCUUCUGUCACCCGAGGUGUUUGAUGAUAAGUGGAUGCGUGCGUUUGAUGAUAAGCAGGAAGUUUGUGAGUUACGUUCAUUAUUUGCUCGGCAGGGC